GCAGCAGUGAGGAAGGGGAGAAAAGAGAUGCUGUUGAAAAACCUCCUCACAGCUCUGCACCAUCCCCUCCCGCCAUGCCCACCCCAGUGCCAAGCAGGACAGGCAGGAGAAAUGGGAUGAAGCCUUAGGACAGGUCACACAAAAGGCUCACACAGCUGCUGCCUGUCACUUUUGAUAAAGAAAAAG